rnacentral:rRNA from 1 species
AGCCUUUGGAGAGGAUUAAAGGUUAUACCUGCCCAAUGUUGUAUUAAUGGCCGCGGUACUUUGACCGUGCUAAGGUAGCACAAUCAAUUGGCCCUUAAUUAGGGUCAGGUAUGAAUGGAGUUACGGGGCUUAGCUGUCUCUAGACUAUUUAAUUGAAGUUGCUAUAUAGGUGAAAAAGCCUGUAUUAAGAAAAAAGACGAGAAGACCCUUAGAGUUUUACUUAAAAAAGAGUUAUUUCUUCACUAGUUUUGUUGGGGCAACAUAGGAGAAGAACCAAACCUCCUAAAGGAUAUAGACCGAUGUUUUUAAAUAUGAAUAAACUACCUUAGGGAUAACAGCAUAAUUUUAAAAAUAAGUUUGUGACCUCGAUGUUGGACUAGGAAACUUAAGGGCUAGCCGCCUUUUGGUAAGGUUCUGUUCGAACUAUAAUUCCU